CUGCAGCCCGAGUGGUGAUCGAUUUUAUUGAGCCUAAAGCGUCCGUAGCCGGACUAGUAAACCCUUGGGUAAAUUGGGCAGCUUAACUGUCCAAAUUCCGAGGGGACUGCUAGUCUUGGGACCGGGAGAGGUCAGAGGUACUCGAGGGGUAGGGGCUAAAUCCUGUAAUCCUUUGGGGACCACCAGUGGCGAAGGCGUCUGACUAGAACGGAUCCGACGGUAAGGGACGAAACCCUGGGGCGCGAACCGGAUUAGAUACCCGAGUAGUCC
rnacentral:rRNA from 1 species